GUGUCUUUGGCGGGUGCCUGGCGUUGCGGGGCGCUUAUUCCGAUUCCGGUAGCCGGGACCCCGAACUCUGAAUCCGACCAUCUCCUGCCACUUCGGACGCAGGACCAAUACUCCCCCCACCUCGAGCUCCGGCCUUGGACCCCCGAGACUCUUAACUUAAGGACAAACGCAGGCCUGCUUACCCGUCUAGCCCAAGCACUGGCUUUCCGGCCGCUGACUGGGAUUAUGCCGGCAGGAAAGGGUCCUUAGCCCCAUCUCCGGCUGCAAGCUAAGAAGCCAUCGAAUGAAUGAAGUAGUUUCCCAGAAUCCGACCCGCCCAGAGAAUUCUCCGCCCAGAAAAAGCCCGCUUAGAGUCCUUUAAAAACCUCUGACUUCCCGUCUUUGGGGGCUGGUGCCAUUUUGAGGCUUAGCCCAUCCAGGUUUCCAGAUGACCUAGUAAAUUCAUAAUUCUAUA